rnacentral:hammerhead_ribozyme from 1 species
AUCCAGAUAACGAGUCCCAAAUAGGACGAAACACGCAUCCUGGAU